UUGCUUAUGAUCGUGUGCUAAUUUUGUUCACCAUGUGACUAUUCUUCUUAGCCAGUUUUUUGUCCAAUUCUCGUGCCAGGCCCUAGAAGAUUCGGUAUAAAUCUUGAAAUGAAAAAAUUAGCAAUGCUUUGAUUCUAAAGCUGAGAAAACGUGCAAAAAGUCAACAGAGGCUGCCAGAAAAUGCAGCUGAAACCAAAACUGAAGUUAGUUCAAAACUAAUUAAGUUAUCAUUUGUUGGAAAACCCAAUAAAUUUUAAUCUAAGUAAAAUCAUUUUUGAAGCCGAAUCUAGUUUCAAAACACUAUGCUAAACUGACAGCCCUUUGUUCGUGUGAAUAUUUACAUGAGGUACCUUGUAUCAUGGCGCUCCAGUUCUAGAGUUCAAUGUUUAGGGACUUUGGUAUUUAGGAAGAGCCGGGCCGAUAUUUUCUGUAUUAAAAUGUCUGUUUUGUUCAGACGUCCUUUGUACAAUUUAUGUCCAAACUUCAGAACUUUGCGAUGUCAUGUGUUUUCUCAGAAAUGGAGCUCUUCAUGUCCGCUUAAAACUGCGAAUCGUGGCUUAACUUUAGGCCCAAAAUUCCAAACUCUAAAGAAAAAUUUUCAGUUGGAGAAACUUUCAAACUUUUUGACAAACUUGUCAAAAAAUGAAAGAUUUUUUUUCAAAUGUUGUGGGACUAUUUCAUUAAUUGGUGGAGUAUCUCUGAGGAAGAAAAUUGCCAACUGUGAAGGACUGAAGUUGAGUCAUAAGAGUAGGAUACCUAGAAGCAAAAAUGAGGAAAAGAAGGACAAAGACGAGGACCCAGAGCCUGCCUUAGACUGGAAAUUGUUUUUUAGACUGCUUCUUCCAGAUUUAUGGUUGUUUACCUUAGCCUCUUUGACAGCAUUUUUGGUUGCACUUGUUAAUAUCAAACUUCCUCAUCUCAUUGGCGAACUCAUCAAUGCAAUAAGCUCAUUGACACAAGAGAACUCAACAGGAGAUAAUGCAUUUAAUGUGCUUUAUAGACCAUCAGUAAAACUGAUUUUAAACUAUGGACUUCAAUCUGGACUAACAUUUCUAUAUAUUACAUUGUUGUCUUCAUUUGGUGAGCGAUUUGCUGCAAGAUUGAGAAUCACUUUAUUUGAGUCGCUGGUUAACCAAGACAUAGCCUUCUUUGAUGCACAUAAAACUGGGGAGAUUGUGAACCGCCUGACAGCAGAUAUCCAAGACUUCAAGAGCUCGUUCAAGCAGUGCAUAUCACAGGGUGUAAAGAGUGUAACUCAAACAGUAGGUUGUGUCUGUAUGCUUUACAUCGUCUCACCCAAGCUAACAUCAGUGAUGCUUGUACUGCUCCCUGGAAUUGUAUUGUUUGGAACUUUUCUUGGCUCAAUGCUGAGGAAGAUGUCAAGACAUGCUCAGGAGCAAGUUGCCAAGGCAACUGCAGUUGCAGAAGAGACACUUGGCAACAUGAGGACAGUCAGGGCAUUUGCAAUGGAGGCAAAAGAAACUGAGUGGUAUAGUGAUGAAGUUGAAAAAUCAAAAAGCCUCAACGAAUAUCUAGGAGCUGGAAUUGGGGUGUUCCAAGGACUGUCCAACUUUGCAAUCAAUGGAAUGACAUUGGUUGUUCUCUACUAUGGUGGUAUAUUACUUGACUCAAAGCAAAUCACUCCUGGUGACUUGAUGAGCUUUUUAAUGGCCACACAGACAAUUCAAAGGUCUCUUGGAACGUUAUCUGUUCUCUUUGGGCAGGUAAUAAGGGGGCUUAGCUCUGGUGCCCGAGUAUUUGAGUACAUACAAAUGAAACCAAAAGUUGAGUUGAAACAUGACAAAAUAAUUCCAACAGGGAGCAUCCAUGGACAUGUCAGGUUUGGGUCUGUCACCUUCUCAUACCCAACCAGGCCUGACCAGAAAGUAUUGGACAAUCUGAGUUUAGAUAUUGGUGCAGGGAAAGUUAUAGCACUUUGUGGACCAAGUGGUUCAGGCAAGUCAACGAUAGCAUCGCUUCUUGAAAACUUCUACGAUUUGGACUCAGGUGCAGUCACUAUUGACGGCUAUGAUGUGAAGGAGCUCGAUAAGUCAUGGCUAAGAGGCGACCUUAUUGGUUUCAUAAACCAGGAACCCGUUUUAUUUGCUGGAACAGUAAAAGAAAAUAUUAGGUAUGGAAAAACAGAUGCCACAGAUGAAGAGAUAUAUCAAGCUGCACGCUUGGCAAAUGCUGACGAUUUCAUAAGAAGUUUUCCAGAUGGUUAUGAGACUAUAGUUGGAGAAAGAGGCGUCACUGUAUCAGGAGGCCAGAAGCAAAGGAUAGCGAUUGCAAGAGCGUUGAUUAAAAACCCCAAGAUUUUGAUACUCGAUGAAGCAACAAGUGCAUUGGAUGCUGAAUCAGAGCGGAUUGUCCAAGAUGCUUUAGACAAUGUCUCAAAAGGGAGGACAGUCCUUGUUAUAGCUCACAGACUUAGCACAAUUAUUAAUGCAGAUCUUAUCGCAGUUAUUUCAAAUGGAAAGAUUCGUGAGACUGGAACACAUCGGGAGCUGCUUCAAAAAAACGGGUUGUAUGCAGAGCUGGUGAGAAGACAGACAUCGGAAAAACAAAAAAAUAAUGUUUAGAAAAUGAAUUGAGUUCAAUGAAGAGGCGUUGGUGUGCAGUAUGUGUUGAUGACAAUAUUUUGAUAUGAUAAAAGUGAAACAACGAAACAUCAAGAAUGAAACAAAGUCUAGAAAACAACUUCAAUUCAUCUUUUAUCAAGACCUACGCUCGAGUUACUGUCAUGUACAGAGGCAUUUGAGCUGCCGUCUUGAUUUCAUUAAGUUGAGUUACUUUUCAUUUCCUCUGUUACGUUAUGACUCCAAAGUUCUGUAUUGAUCAGACGCAAAACCAUAAUUAAAUCAUAAUGAUGCCAUGAAAAGAUUCAUUACGAAAAGAAACAUAUUGUCAAAAUUGCUUGAGAUUAUUAAGAACUUAACAAGACGAAUGAUUUAGCUUUUUCUGUGACAUCUGUUUCAUUCACUUUUCUGGAGCAAUGUACUCAUCAAAUUUGUUCAAUCGCUACUUAGACUCAUUCAUUCAUUCAUCUAUGAAUUGGUUAUUGUUUUGAUCUAAUCUUUAUAAGCUAGUUCACUUACCAGUUGCUUCAAAUUACAUUUCUGAUUUUUUAAGGUGUUUCUUGAAUUACCUACUGAGGCGACAAACAUUUGUCAGAACCUUUCUAUGUACACUUUGUAAAAGAUACACUUGUGAAGAGCGUGCAAUGCUUGACCCCUAUCUUAAACCCACAAAAAGCAAAACUUUGGAAUUCAAGAUCUUUCAGGCUGUUUUUGUCUGAAUAAACACCUUGUAUUCGCGAACUUAUUUUUGCCUGACACCUGAACCAUCUGUUUUCAAGAGACACUCUAUUUCCAGCGAUUUUCAACCGACUUCACCAUCAAAACAUACCUUCUACAAGUGCCUAAUGUGAGUAAUCUUGACCCUACCACUGUAUUAUGCACCUUUAGAACUACAACCAUGGACAGUCCUUCUCUUGAGAAGCAGAGUUCUUUUUUGCAGAAGUUUAGUUAAACUUAUUGUCCGAAAGCUAUGUUUUCUCAGCCCUUCAGCUUUGUUUUUAUUUUUUUUUGCUUUUUCCACUUGCUUUAAAGUUGCCUUAUUGGGUGUGGAGGAGUAGGUAUAGUGGAAUGUAAUGUCAAAAGAUUAAUGUGGAUAACCUAAUGUUGUUAUUAGUGAUUCCUCUUCAUGUCAUUUGCGUAAAGUGUGUUUUCCUAUCUUACUUUUCUACUUUCUAUUUGGCACUACCUUAAACUAACAUUGACAUCAAAAACUUAGCUAAGAAAUCAAUACCUAAGAAUUUGCUACAAUGAACGAUCAAUUUAUUCAUUAUUUUAGCGCCAUUUUUUACAUCUUUUACAUUUUGUCAUUUCGUGCAAUGUUGAUCUUUUCGGUUUUCCAGUAAAUCAAACAUUUAUCUGAUGCAAAAUUCGAUAAUUAUUAAAAUACUAAUUUCUUUCUGUGCUUUUUCUGUGGUAGUUGAAAUUCAUUAUCUCAAAUAGAUCUCUACGUGGUUGCAUACGAGACUGGGCGACUAAUAAUAUACUACUUCUACCUUCCAAAACUUUUAAAUCAGUGAAAGUGUACAAGUCUAUUUUUCAGCUUUGGUGUUGCAAGGUACAGCGCCUAACUUUUCCUGUUUAUCAAAAUCAAACUUUGUAGCCAUUAGUUUUUCAAGCACGCUACACCGCCCUACGCUCCUCAAGACUUAUGAUCAUUUUUAUAAGGAGUGUUAUUUGCGGUAAACCAUCUAAGGUUAUAAAUAUCCUAGCUGAAAUUAAUCAAGCUUAGAUCCAGAUGGGAUUAAGGUUCCUCAAUCCCAAUUAGCGAGUUUCUUUGAUAAGAUGUCCACAAAGUAUUAUCGGUAAAUACUGUAUUAUUGAGAUCGCGGUUUUCAUCAAGUUUGAUAAUAGGAUUUCUUUAUAAAGCCCAUGAUGGGAGUUCUGUGACAAGGAUUCAACAGUGGACGUUUCUUGGUGGAGGUUCCUGGGGGUUCCUGAAUAGAAGAGAUUCUUUGGGGGUGCUCCUUGAAGAGGGUACCAUGUUGGGGGUUCCUUAGUACUGUAUCCAAAACCGUGAAAUCUUGAUUUUUUAGGCGUGAUUUCAUGAAUUAAGAUUCCUACGUGAAACGUGAAACAUGAGUUUUCCUUGCGUUAUGGCGUGAAAAGGCUUUAACUAUCCGUGAAUUCGUGAAUGAAAUUUAGAAUGAUAAUUUAAAAAACUGCCUCAAUUUGGUGCGUAAUAAACCAAUUGUAGUUAAAUCUCAAAUUAGUAUUCAAAGUUUGAAACUAAUGUUGUAGUCCAGCAAUUACAUUAAUUGUUUGCGUGAGCGUGAAAAUCCAAUUUUGCAGUGCGUGGAUGCGUGAAAAGUCAAAUUUUUUUUGCGUGAAUGCGUGAAUCACAAUCACUAUGGGGGAGCCCCGUAGUUGAGGUUUGAUAAUUUGGUUGCAGAAGGAGCUCUUCACGAGUUUCAGUAUAGUGGCUUAACAAUCAGCCUAAGAAGGUUGUUUCCAUCAGCAGAGAGUUUUCUACAAUUCAAAGCCUGCCAUUCAGUUUAAUAAUUAGAAUAUAAGUCACAACAAGAUAGUCAGAUAUUUAGGGGCCCUUUACAUGAGACCCGAAACGAAACUCAUGCCGGCACGAGUUUUCAUGCCGGCACGAGUUUCAUGUCGGGUGCUGGUCUGAGCUACUGUUGUGAUUACAUGGCGUUGACCGAAAUGAAACUCAUGCCGGCAUGAGUUUUCAUGCCGGCACGAAAAUCUCAUGUCGCUUUUUCGUGCCGGCAUGAAGUUUCAUGCCGGCACGAAAGUGUCGUGUAAACAGAUCAGUUUUUCAUAUCGGGGGGAAUCAGUGAUAAAAUCGCCUCCGUUGCACAAAUGCUGCAUUUGGAUUUGGUGAAAUGUAUGGCCUAAAUUCUGACAACAAGUCUGAAAAGAAUUCCCUUGACAUUCUAAAGUUAACAUGCCAUUCUCCAUCGCUUAAAAUUUCAUCCCAAACAUUUAACCACCAUGCACUUGUGCGACCAGGCUUUUUCCAUUGUCGUCUUUUUUUCCUCAAAAAUCUAUUUCUCAUGGCUCUGUAUCGGCAAAGGGCGCGACUUUUAUCUUCAACCGCAGCUCUUAACUUUUCCUUAAUUUCUUGCUGUUGCAAGAAUACCUGUAUAGCUAGAAGCAUUUGGCAUUGUAGCGCAAUGCAACCAGUUGUAAAAACUAGAUAAUUGAGGACUGUGAUCAAAAGAAGUUUCCUUGGAUCCUCUGCCGCCAUUUUAAAAAUUUGCUCUCAAACUUUCCCGCUCUUUUUUGAGAAGCACGAAGUCACGUGAAUAUCAUGCGAAAGAAUUCGACAGUUUCAUGUCGGGUUUCAUGUAACGGCGAGCAAAUUUCACCGAAUUUUCAUGCCGGCACGAACUCAUGCCGGCAUGAGUUCAUUUCGGGUCUCAUGUAAAGGGCCCCUUAGAAUAUAUAACCCAAGUUUAAAUUCGGACGCUUUUAACGAUCUCUCUCCUCUCAUUUUUGUUUUUUUCUUUUCGUGGGAAAAUGUUUUGGAAUACUUGCUUAGUUAAACCAAAGCAGAAUUUUGAAAGGUGGUAGAAAUGUAUUUCUGACUAAUAUUUAUUUUUCUAUGUUAUGGAAAGCAUAAGUGUAAUGAGUCAGGGAUAAUGCCAAAGUCAAUUUGAUCUCGCCUGUUCCUUGAGGUGUCCAUGGGAACCUAAACGAACUUUUUAUCUUUAAAAUCUUAUUAUUCCAAUUAUCUCUGUAAUCUUAUAAUUCAUUUUAAAAAAUAAUAAUGUUGAAAAACAAUAUUGUUAUUACAAUUAUGAUUCAAAAAGGGAUUUGUUUAUAAAAACAUUUAGCUAGCUUUGUUUCUGUCAAGUAAUGAUUAAUUAGAUUAAGUUUUAUAAUUCAGGUAUAUAAUCAAAAUAAUCAUAAAUGUUUAUUUAUGCCUUUUGUUGUGUCUUAUAACAAAAAUGGUUCGAGAAAGCGAUUAAUGUAAGCUUUUCGAUACAUUUUGUCAGGUUUUUUGGCGUGAAGCAAACCAUGAAUAUCCCAGCAUUUUCAUUUUUUGGGUACCCAACCAUGUCCAUGGCAUUUUUCUCAGCUUUUGGGCAUCGUUCACAUGAAGACAUGUUUUGGGAUAGCUGUAUUGUUUAAAGUAUUCUAACGUGAAUUAAUAUUUUUACAUUACGUAAUCCGUGUGGGAAGUAGCGGAGCACCAUAAAUAAUUUAACAUAUAAUUAAAAUAUUUGCAAUGCACUGAUAGAAUAACUUAACAUAAAUUAGCCUAUUUGCAUUACGCUUUAUGUUUAAGUUAGUAAACGAGCACAAAGAACACACAUGUGUACAAACACUAUUUCUCUAAAACUAGGCCAAGUUUCGCUUAGAAGUUUCACUCUCAAGUGGUAUUGUCUUUGCAUUUAAGUAGCAUUUAAGCAGCUAAAGUGAUGUUUGAGACAACUCGUGAGUGUAAGAUUUUAAUUGAGUGAACAUAUAUUCCACUUGAUUUAUCAUCUAGUUCUUUGAGCCUCAAUUCUGUGCUUAAAUGUAUUUUUAGGUUUCAAAACGCCCUUCCCGCCCUCCUCACCCCCAGUGUAAUAUGGUUAAGACAGAUUAGAAACAAGAGAUUGCUGUUGCUGUUGUAUAGCUGUGGGUCUUCAAUGCUACUGAAGGAUGAAAAUUAGAAGAAAAGCAUAGAUUAAUACUUUCCAUAAAGUUUGAGCCUGUCUUUUAUUCUAAGUUUAGUCUUGAAUUUGAGCAGUUC